GGGCCCAUAGCUCAGUUGGCAGAGCAGCCGGCUCAUAACCGGUCGGUCCCUGGUUCGAGCCCAGGUGGGCCCA
rnacentral:tRNA from 1 species